UCAUCAUUGAAUUGUCUUUCU
ensembl:piRNA 21ur-5713 ncRNA